rnacentral:rRNA from 1 species
GAUGAACGCUGGCGGCGUGCCUAAUACAUGCAAGUCGAGCGAACAGACGAGGAGCUUGCUCCUCUGACGUUAGCGGAGGACGGGUGAGUAACACGUGGAUAACCUACCUAUAAGACUGGGAUAACUUCGGGAAACCGGAGCUAAUACCGGAUAAUAUAUUGAACCGCAUGGUUCAAUAGUGAAAGACGGUUUUGCUGUCACUUAUAGAUGGAUCCGCGCCGCAUUAGCUAGUUGGUAAGGUAACGGCUUACCAAGGCGACGAUGCGUAGCCGACCUGAGAGGGUGGUCGGCCACCCUGGAGCUUGUACACCCACCAGGCUCCUACGGUAGGCAGCAGUAGGGUAUCUGCCGCAGUGGGCGAGAGCCUUACGGAGCGGCGCCGCGUGAGUGAUGAAGGUCUUCGGAUCGUAAAGCUCUGUUAUUAGUGAAGAACAAAUGUGUAAUUAACUAUGCACGUCUUGACGGUACCGAGUCAGAAAGCCACGGCUAACUACGUG